UACGAAGGGGGCUAGCGUUGCUCGGAAUUACUGGGCGUAAAGGGAGCGUAGGCGGAUAGUUCAGUCAGAGGUGAAAGCCCAGGGCUCAACCUUGGAACUGCCUUUGAUACUGGCUAUCUUGAGUUUGGGAGAGGUGUGUGGAACUCCGAGUGCAGAGGUGAAAUUCGUAGAUAUUCGGAAGAACACCAGUGGCGAAGGCGACACACUGGCCCAAUACUGACGCUGAGGCUCGAAAGCGUGGGGAGCAAACAGG
rnacentral:rRNA from 1 species